rnacentral:rRNA from 1 species
UUCCGGUUGAUCCUGCCGGACCUGACUGCUAUCGGAUUGAUACUAAGCCAUGCGAGUCUUUGUAGUAAUACAAGGCAGACGGCUCAGUAACACGUAGUCAACCUACCCUAUGGACGAGAAUAAUCUCGGGAAACUGAGCAUAAUUCUUGAUAGAUCAUAAUGCCUGGAAUGGUUUAUGGUUAAAAUGAUUCGUCGCCAUAGGAUGGGACUGCGGCCUAUCAGCUUGUUGGUGAGGUAAUGGCCCACCAAGGCGAUUACAGGUACGGGCUCUGAGAGGAGAAGCCCGGAGAUGGGUACUGAGACACGGACCCAGGCCCUAUGGGGCGCAGCAGGCGAGAAAACUUUGCAAUGUGCGAAAGCACGACAAGGUUAAUCCGAGUGAUUUCUGCUAAAGAAAUCUUUUGCCAGUCGUAAAACCGCCGGUGAAUAAGGGGUGGGCAAGUUCUGGUGUCAGCCGCCGCGGUAAAACCAGCACCUCAAGUGGUCAGGAUGAUUAUUGGGCCUAAAGCAUCCGUAGCCGGCUUUGUAAGUUUUCGGUUAAAUCCAUGUGCUCAACGCAUGGGCUGCCGAAAAUACUGCAUAGCUAGGGAGUGGAAGAGGUAGACGGUACUCAGUAGGUAGGGGUAAAAUCCUUUGAUCUAUUGAUGACCACCUGUGGCGAAGGCGGUCUACCAGAACACGUUCGACGGUGAGGGAUGAAAGCUGGGGGAGCAAACCGGAUUAGAUACCCGGGUAGUCCCAGCUGUAAACGAUGCAGACUCGAUGAUGCAUUGGCAUAAUAGCCAUUGCAGUGUCGCAGGGAAGCCGUUAAGUCUGCCGCCUGGGAAGUACGUACGCAAGUAUGAAACUUAAAGGAAUUGGCGGGGGAGCACCACAAGGGGUGAAGCCUGCGGUUCAAUUGGAUUCAACGCCGGA